UUAACACUCCAACUUGUUUACUCUUAAUUUUUAUUGUAUCACUGCGACCGUGCUAUUCUUACUCCAUUUUGGGAAAAUAAUACAAUAUUCGGGAUUUAUAAUUGUAAUUUUUUCUAUCUUUUAACAUCCGUGUGGCAGAAUACGCUGCUUCCCAUUUGUUAAGCAAUGCCUCGCCAAAUAAUGGAAAUAAAAGAAUUCUUGCUGACAGCAAGAAGGAAAGAUGCUAAAUGUG